CAGCCGCCGCGGUAAUACGGAGGGUGCAAGCGUUAAUCGGAAUUACUGGGCGUAAAGCGCACGCAGGCGGUUUGUUAAGUCAGAUGUGAAAUCCCCGGGCUCAACCUGGGAACUGCAUUUGAAACUGGCAAGCUAGAGUCUCGUAGAGGGGGGUAGAAUUCCAGGUGUAGCGGUGAAAUGCGUAGAGAUCUGGAGGAAUACCGGUGGCGAAGGCGGCCCCCUGGACGAAGACUGACGCUCAGGUGCGAAAGCGUGGGGAGCAAACAGGAUUAGAUACCCCUGUAGUCCCUGUCUCUUAUAC
rnacentral:rRNA from 1 species